CCUUCGGGGUACUCGAGUGGCGAACGGGUGAGUAACACGUGGGUGAUCUGCCCUGCACUUCGGGAUAAGCCUGGGAAACUGGGUCUAAUACCGGAUAUACCUCAUGGACUGCAUGGUUUGUGGGGGAAAGCUUUUGCGGUGUGGGAUGGGCCCGCGGCCUAUCAGCUUGUUGGUGGGGUGAUGGCCUACCAAGGCGUCGACGGGUAGCCGGCCUGAGAGGGUGUCCGGCCACACUGGGACUGAGAUACGGCCCAGACUCCUACGGGAGGCAGCAGUGGGGAAUAUUGCACAAUGGGCGCAAGCCUGAUGCAGCGACGCCGCGUGGGGGAUGACGGCCUUCGGGUUGUAAACCUCUUUCAGCACAGACGAAGCGCAAGUGACGGUAUGUGCAGAAGAAGCACCGGCCAACUACGUGCCAGCAGCCGCGGUAAUACGUAGGGUGCGAGCGUUGUCCGGAAUUACUGGGCGUAAAGAGCUUGUAGGUGGUUUGUCGCGUUGUUCGUGAAAUCUCACGGCUUAACUGUGAGCGUGCGGGCGAUACGGGCAGACUAGAGUACUGCAGGGGAGACUGGAAUUCCUGGUGUAGCGGUGGAAUGCGCAGAUAUCAGGAGGAACACCGGUGGCGAAGGCGGGUCUCUGGGCAGUAACUGACGCUGAGAAGCGAAAGCGUGGGGAGCGAACAGGAUUAGAUACCCUGGUAGUCCACGCCGUAAACGGUGGGUACUAGGUGUGGGUUUCCUUCCUUGGGAUCCGUGCCGUAGCUAACGCAUUAAGUACCCCGCCUGGGGAGUACGGCCGCAAGGCUAAAACUCAAAGGAAUUGACGGGGGCCCGCACAAGCGGCGGANCAUGUGGAUUAAUUCGAUGCAACGCGAAGAACCUUACCUGGGCUUGACAUGCACUANAAAGCCGUANAGAUACGGCCCCCCUUGUGGUUGGUGUGC
rnacentral:rRNA from 1 species